rnacentral:rRNA from 1 species
CCUACGGGAGGCAGCAGUAGGGAAUUUUCGUCAAUGGGCGCAAGCCUGAACGAGCAAUGCCGCGUGAACGAGGAAGGUCUUCGGAUCGUAAAGUUCUGUCUUUGGGGAAGAAAAUGACGGUACCCAAAGAGGAAGCUCCGGCUAACUACGUGCCAGCAGCCGCGGUAAUACGUAGGGAGCGAGCGUUGUCCGGAAUUACUGGGUGUAAAGGGAGCGUAGGCGGGCGAGAAAGUUGAAUGUUAAAUCUACCGGCUUAACUGGUAGCUGCGUUCAAAACUUCUUGUCUUGAGUGAAGUAGAGGCAGGCGGAAUUCCUAGUGUAGCGGUGAAAUGCGUAGAUAUUAGGAGGAACACCAGUGGCGAAGGCGGCCUGCUGGGCUUUAACUGACGCUGAGGCUCGAAAGCGUGGGGAGCAAACAGGAUUAGAUACCCUUGUAGUC